rnacentral:rRNA from 1 species
GACGAACGCUGGCGGCGUGCUUAACACAUGCAAGUCGAGCGGUAAGGCCCUUUCGGGGGUACACGAGCGGCGAACGGGUGAGUAACACGUGGGUGACCUGCCCUCAGCUCUGGGAUAAGCCUGGGAAACCGGGUCUAAUACCGGAUAUGACUCCAUGACGCAUGUUGUGGGGUGGAAAGCCUUGUGCGGCUGAGGAUGGGCCCGCGGCCUAUCAGCUUGUUGGUGGGGUGAUGGCCUACCAAGGCGACGACGGGUAGCCGGCCUGAGAGGGCGACCGGCCACACUGGGACUGAGACACGGCCCAGACUCCUACGGGAGGCAGCAGUGGGGAAUAUUGGACAAUGGGCGCAAGCCUGACGCAGCGACGCCGCGGU